GACGAACGCUGGCGGCGUGCUUAACACAUGCAAGUCGAGCGGUAAGGCCCUUUCAGGGGUACACGAGCGGCGAACGGGUGAGUAACACGUGGGUGACCUGCCCUCAGCUCUGGGAUAAGCCUGGGAAACUGGGUCUAAUACCGGAUAUGACUCCAUGACGCAUGUUGUGGGGUGGAAAGCCUUGUGCGGCUGAGGAUGGGCCCGCGGCCUAUCAGCUUGUUGGUGGGGUGAUGGCCUACCAAGGCGACGACGGGUAGCCGGCCUGAGAGGGCGACCGGCCACACUGGGACUGAGACACGGCCCAGACUCCUACGGGAGGCAGCAGUGGGGAAUCUUGCGCAAUGGGCGAAAGCCUGACGCAGCGACGCCGCGUGAGGGAUGACGGCCU
rnacentral:rRNA from 1 species